CAGUUCUCCGCCUCACACCAGUUCUACGCCAGUCCGCCUCAGGGCUCACGGCACGCCCUCACCAGUCACCAGUUCUCCGCCUCACGGCUCACCUUCCUACGUUCAAAGGUGACACAAACGCUUGGCUGUAAAUAUCAUGAUUGAUAAAGUGAUUGGUGAAAGUGGAGCUUCUAAUUUAAAUGCAACAGCACAAUCUCAAUCAGUUCAAUUGAAAGUAAAGAGACAACGAAAAAAGAGGUCUGUUGCAUGGGAACAUUUUGACCAAAUUAUUGAUCCGGAAGGGAAUCAAAAGGGUGUAUGUAAACAUUGCAAAAAAGAAUAUUUUGCCGAUUCAAAAGAAAAUGGUACAAAAUCACUCCUUACACAUAUUAAGGAGUGUGAGUUAAAACUUUGGUAUAUAUUCCUUCUCAUAGAUUUUACCAAUCUUGGAAACGAACCCUGUGAUGAUGAUGUGUAGAACCUUAGAUAGUUGUGAGUUAAAACUUUGGUGUAACUAGGGGUGUUCAAACCAAACCGGAAAACCGCCAAACCGA